UUUUUCAAAACCUGAAGACACUGAUGCAAAAGGGCCCCUGAGACUAGAAAUCAAGCUGUCAGGGUCAAACCAUCUCCACAAAGCAUCAGGGAAUAAAAUUCCAGAGCGCAGACCACUGAACAGACUUCCAAGGGGUAGGUGCCAGUGCAGUCCUCCCCUCUUUCCUUCAUUUAUAUAAAUCUUUCCGGAAAACUAAGUCAAAUGUUCCUCAUAAACCAUCGGAGAAGAGUUCAAUGUUUUCCACAGAUGGUCUGCUGAUUCUCUGUGUGUCUUCAUCGAGGCUGGAGUCAUGAGGCUGAAGACCAGGCAGGCCAAGGAGGCCAUGCCUGAGAAGGCAGGACCUAGCAAAUGUGGGUCAGAGAAGAACCUAAAUCAGAAACUGGGUUAAUUCAACUGGGUUAGCCUCAGUGGAUCUGAGGACAUCAGAGUCUGUAGAGCUGAGAGGCGUUUACCAGAAGGAAAGUCACGGGAAUGAGAAGUCAGGGCAAGUCUAGGCAGAUCCACGUGGCCGAGGCUGGAGCGCCUGGACCCCGGAGAACUGGAGGUCUGCCCCCGGUGGACAUCUGCUGCCUGAAAGUCCCACCUCUGCACAGGAGCCUAAGCCGUGUCCACCUCUGUCUCUGCAAGAGCCCUUUGGUUAGUGGUUUCGAGCCUUCACUUUGGCCAAAUACAUGUGGUCCUUGGCAGUCCCGCACUGUCUAGAGCCUGUGAAUCUCUUCGGAGCUCAUUUAUCUCAGGAGGGAAAUUGCCUGAGCAGACUUGAAGGCAGGGGUGGGAGCCACCUAAGGAAGACACCAGGGAGCAUUUGGCAGGGUGGGUGGGGAAAGGAGACGGAACAGAGGAGAGGGGGCUGGGAACUAUCCCACUCUUUCCCUCCCUCCUGCAUCUGGUGCCCCAGGAGCUGCUCUGAGCAAUGCCUCUCGAAUGCGUUGGCGUGAACUUGUACUUGUUCCUCCCUCAGGGAAUGAGAGAAGACAGGCUGAAAGCUGCUGAAAUGCUUGGAGAACAUCCAAGGAGAGGCUUGUCAGAAAUGCAGUAUAUUAAUGAAAACAGCUCGGGCCUGGCUAAAGAGUGACUCUUGGAACAAAACAAACAGAUGGGAGUUGACGACAGUUGAUCUGAAAAAGUCUCCAGCCCUUGUAUACGUAGAGCCUGGUGCUUCAUGAGAGUCUUCACGGAGUUCACUGCACCGUGGUCUUCUUCAGCUUAGGCUAGUAUUCAUUUAUUCUCAGGAGCGCCAACAACCGCAUCAAGGCAUAUCCCUUAUGGGCAUAAGCACAUUCUCCAGUGUCUGCCAUCUCCAGGAACAAAGGUGGUACCGGCGGCAGGACAGACCGGAUGACCUUGAAGCUUCUCGGGCUCGUCCAUGACACCUGAAUGUGGGUCUAACUUCCUAACUUCAAAGAGUGAAACAAAUGAAUGCACCAACUCUUAGAGCUCAGGGCUGCAAGCCCCAGACGUCCCUCUUAUUCCUCUUUAGAUGUGAGAAGAGGAUUUUCUAUUUAAUUGGCUACCUCCAUUGAUUUGAUCAGUAUCAGAUACUCUGACGUCAUGAAGUGAAAAACAGGCAUGAAAAAAAAAAGCGACUGAAAUAUGAAUAACAAACUGUUCAAGAGGAGACAGCCAGUUCUAGAGGACUGGCUCCGCUCACUUAGAGGUCCUGGAAACAAAUAGCUAACAUUUUUGAGAGUCUCAGGAGGACACAAACCACUCUCCCUCAACUAUAUCAAUCUGAA